rnacentral:rRNA from 1 species
AGCGAACGCUGGCGGCAGGCUUAACACAUGCAAGUCGAGCGGGCACUUCGGUGUCAGCGGCAGACGGGUGAGUAACACGUGGGAACGUACCCUUCGGCUCGGAAUAACGCUGGGAAACUAGCGCUAAUACCGGAUACGCUCUUGCGGGGAAAGGUUUACUGCCGAAGGAUCGGCCGGCGUCUGAUUAGCUAGUUGGUGGGGUAAUGGCCUACCAAGGCGACGAUCAGUAGCUGGUCUGAGAGGAUGAUCAGCCACACUGGGACUGAGACACGGCCCAGACUCCUACGGGAGGCAGCAGUGGGGAAUAUUGGACAAUGGGCGCAAGCCUGAUCCAGCCAUGCCGCGUGAGUGAUGAAGGCCUUAGGGUUGUAAAGCUCGUUUGUCCGGGACGAUAAUGACGGUACCGGAAGAAUAAGCCCCGGCUAACUUCGUG